UACCAGCACCCCGAGUGGUCGGGACGUUUAUUGGGCCUAAAGCAUCCGUAGCCGGUUCUACAAGUCUUCCGUUAAAUCCACCUGCUUAACAGAUGGGCUGCGGAAGAUACUAUAGAGCUAGGAGGCGGGAGAGGCAAGCGGUACUCGAUGGGUAGGGGUAAAAUCCGUUGAUCCAUUGAAGACCACCAGUGGCGAAGGCGGCCUGCUGGGCAGUAGCUGACACUGAGGCGCGACAGCGUGGGGAGCAAACAGG
rnacentral:rRNA from 1 species